rnacentral:rRNA from 1 species
GUGUCAGCCGCCGCGGUAAUACGGAGGGUGCGAGCGUUGUUCGGAAUCACUGGGCGUAAAGCGCGUGUAGGCGGCCUGUUAAGUCUGAUGUGAAAGCCCGGGGCUCACCCCCGGAAGUGCAUUGGAAACUGUCAGGCUCGAGUCCCGGAGAGGAGGGUGGAAUUCCUGGUGUAGCGGUGAAAUGCGUAGAUAUCAGGAGGAACACCGGUGGCGAAGGCGGCCCUCUGGACGGUGACUGACGCUGAGACGCGAAAGCGUGGGGAGCAAACAGGAUUAGAUACCCUCGUAGUCC